AUGUUUUUGAAAUUUUGUAGGAUCAACGAUUAUAUUUGAAACUUUAUGGUAAAAUAUGGCCCUUUUAGUUGAGUAUUUUUCACAAUGUAAAAGAAAAUGUUUUUCAUUUUCAAUUUGACCAGAAUUACAUACAGAGCAGUAUCUCUCAUUUCUGGGAAUAUUUAGAUGUCUCCCUCUUUCAAUCAUCAGUAUAUGAGCGCUUAUACGGAUCUUACAUAUUGCAGCUCUGUCACUUCUGUUUUUCAAUAUAUCAACAUAGGGUGGUCUUCUGCCCAUUAUGUAG
rnacentral:lncRNA from 1 species